UCAUAGGUCAGCAUACUAUGGUGAAUACGUUCCCGGGCCUUGUACACACCGCCGUCACACCAUGAGAGUUGAGAAUACCCGAAGUCCAUGUCAAAGUGGCCGAAGGUAGGCUUGAUGAUUGGGGUGAAGUCGUAACAAGGUACC
rnacentral:rRNA from 1 species